rnacentral:rRNA from 1 species
UACGUAAGGGGCUAGCGUUGUUCGGAAUUAUUGGGCGUAAAGGGCGUGUAGGCGGUUUUGCAAGCCUGAUGUGAAAUCCCACGGCUUAACCGUGGAUCCGCAUUGGGAACUGCAAGACUAGAGUUUAAGAUGGGAAGCUGGAAUUCCAGGUGUAGGGGUGAAAUCUGUAGAUAUCUGGAAGAACACCGAUGGCGAAGGCAAGCUUCUGGCUAUAGACUGACGCUGAGGCGCGAAAGCGUGGGGAGCAAACAGG